rnacentral:rRNA from 1 species
UACCAGCACCCCGAGUGGUCGGGACGAUUAUUGGGCCUAAAGCAUCCGUAGCCGGUUCUUUAAGUCCUCCGUUAAAUCCACCUGCUUAACAGAUGGGCUGCGGAGGAUACUAUAGAGCUAGGAGGCGGGAGAGGCAAGCGGUACUCAGUGGGUAGGGGUAAAAUCCGUUGAUCCAUUGAAGACCACCAGUGGCGAAGGCGGCUUGCCAGAACGCACUCGACGGUGAGGAAUGAAAGCUGGGGGAGCAAACCGG